rnacentral:lncRNA from 1 species
GUGUAAUCAAAGAAUGAAUCCUUUCUUGAAAGUGCAAGGUGGGAUGAAUUAGAUCAGUGGUGCAAAAGCAGAUGUUCUUUACUGUGAUAGGCCUUUCUUUGGAUACUCUGGGAAGAAGGGACCUAAACAAAACACUAAACUGAAGAGGAUUCAGAGGUGCAAUCACUGCCAGCCACUGCAAGCAAGAGAAAUCCCCUUUAAAUAGAUAUUUUCUCUGCAUUUGUUUCCAAACUGUAAUUCUGCUGCAUGACUUAAAAAAAGAGGGGGGAAAAAAGGAAAAGAAAAAAAAAAAAAAAAAAAGAUUUGAUAUUUCAGUCUCUCAGGGCAGCUUCCGAAUAAUUACAUGCAAAAUGAUCUAUUAUAUAUUUAUUGAAAAUAGUAUUGCUGAGUACAAAUGUGCAUUUUAUUCAGAAUGGUCAUUUUUUAAAGGCAUCUAUUGUAGCUGAUUCACUAACAUCCAGGGGUUCUUGCCAUACACACAGCACAGAUUUUUUUGAUUAUGUAGAUUUUUUUUUCCUAUUGCAGUUUCAUAUGCAAAGCAUGCAUCAGCCACAUCCAUGCUAUCUCCUAAAGCAGUCAUUCUGAAACCCAAUCUGGGGACAGUGCAGACUAAAUAAAAUUUCAUUUUGAUUUGGCCUCCCGCUGAGAAUGGGACUGCUUUGUUUCAGCCGACAGAACCAGCAAGCCAGAAAGGUAUGUCCUGUUUUGCAUGGCUGAUGGUGUGACUUGAGGAUCACAAUCAGGCCGUUCAUGCUCUCAGGGCUCGGCAUCUCAUCCACAUCCUGUACUGUCUUUCUCUUUUCCUUUCCAUUUGCUUUCCUUCUGUGCCGCCUGCCGUCUACCUGCAGGGCAAAGCUAUGGCAAACCCUAACACUAUUGUUUACUUUGGCAUAUGUUUAAUAGCUGCAUGGCUGUUUAAGGGUAGGGUUUUUCUUUCCUUUUUUUUUUUUUCCCCUCAUUCUUCCCCCGCCUUUGUUUUUCCCUGCCCUACCCACAUUCACUUUCCUUAUUUUCUAGGUGUUGAAUACACAAAAACUGACUUAACGGACAAUUGUGUGUCUUAAAAGUAUGCUGCUUUGACACUGCACAGAAGAUAUAACUCAGCUACUUCAUGCUCCCAAUCUCAUCUAACUGGUGCUGGUUACUUGGUAGGCUCAUGCCUUGUGAUUUUUCAUCACCAUGAGGAUCCCAAGAGGCAUCACCAGAAUCACCAAC